rfam:Cryptococcus bestiolae CBS 10118 unplaced genomic scaffold supercont1.1, whole genome shotgun sequence.
AUCUACCGCCAUCGAAUCCGGAGAGCACCGCAUCCCGUCAAAUCUGCGCAGUUUAAGUCAGGUAUGGCUCGAUUAGUACCGAGGUUGGGGACAAUUCGGGAAUACCGAGUGCUGUAGUUU